rnacentral:rRNA from 1 species
GACAGAGGGUGCAAACGUUGCUCGGAUUUACUGGGCGUAAAGCGCGUGUAGGCGGGCGACUAAGUCGGAUGUGAAAUCCCUGGGCUCAACCUAGGAACUGCAUUCGAAACUGGUCACCUAGAGUGAUGGAGAGGAAAGCGGAAUUCCCGGUGUAGAGGUGAAAUUCGUAGAUAUCAGGAGGAAUACCGAUGGCGAAGGCAGGUCUCUGGGCUGACACUGACGCUCAUGCACGAAAGCGUGGGGAGCAAACAGG